UUGAAAGGGAAACGAUUGAAGUCAGUCAUGCUGGUGGGAAUCAACUUAGGGGAAACUCUGGGUGCACUUCUUCGCUUGGCAGGUCAACGUCGAUUUUGAAUGUCAUAAAAUAAUUGGGGAAGGUAGCUCCUUCGGGAGUGUUAUAGCCCUUGAUAUAUGUGAUGUUUGAGGUCGAGGAUUGCAACGGAAUCCUUCGGGGCUAGCUGCCUGAUCUCUAAUUGGUGUUGGGUUACGGAUAGCAUGCUGACCGUGAUCUAAUUACUGGUUAAAAGGUUAGAGUAUGCAUAAAUUCGUUAAGGAUGUUGACGUA
rnacentral:rRNA from 1 species